rnacentral:rRNA from 1 species
UACGUAGGGUGCAAGCGUUGUCCGGAAUUAUUGGGCGUAAAGAGCUCGUAGGCGGUUCGUCGCGUCGGCUGUGAAAUCCCGAGGCUCAACCUCGGGUCUGCAGUCGAUACGGGCGGACUGGAGUUCGGCAGGGGAGACUGGAAUUCCUGGUGUAGCGGUGAAAUGCGCAGAUAUCAGGAGGAACACCAGCGGCGAAGGCGGCGCUCUGGGCCGGAACUGACGCUGAGGAGCGAAAGCGUGGGUAGCAAACAGG